UACAGAGGGGGCUAGCGCUAUUCGGAAUUAUUGGGCGUAAAGGGCGCGUAGGCGGCCAUGCGUGUCUUCCGUGAAAUCCCUCGGCUUAACUGAGGACGUGCGGAAGAAACUGCAAGGCUCGAGUCCGGGAGAGGGGGGUGGAAUUCCCAGUGUAGCGGUGAAAUGCGUAGAUAUUGGGAGGAACACCGGUGGCGAAGGCGGCCCCCUGGACCGGAACUGACGCUGAGGCGCGAAAGCGUGGGUAGCAAACGGG
rnacentral:rRNA from 1 species